rnacentral:rRNA from 1 species
GACGAACGCUGGCGGCGUGCCUAAUACAUGCAAGUCGAACGAGAGCAACCGGUGCUUGCACUGGUCAAUCUAGUGGCGAACGGGUGGGUAACACGUGGGUAACCUGCUCAUCAGAGGGGGAUAACAUCCGGAAACGGAUGCUAAAACCGCAUAGGUCUUCGAACCGCAUGGUUUGAAGAGGAAAAGAGGCGCAAGCUUCUGCUGAUGGAUGGACCCGCGGUGCAUUAGCUAGUUGGUGAGGUAACGGCUCACCAAGGCCGUGAUGCAUAGCCGACCUGAGAGGGGGAUCGGCCACAUUGGGACUGAGACACGGCCCAAACUCCUACGGGAGGCAGCAGUAGGGAAUCUUCCGCAAUGGACGCAAGUCUGGCGGAGCAACGCCGCGUGAGUGAAGAAGGUGUUCGGAUCGUAAAACUCUGUUGUUAGAGAAGAACAAGUGCUAGAGUAACUGUUAGCGCCUUGACGGUAUCUAAACAGAAAGCCACGGCUAACUACGUG